AACAGGCUCUGCUUUUCAUAAUUGGCUUCAUGAGUGUGGGUUUUGGAAAUAAUUCUAGGGGAACAGAGGGCCUGGAAGAGGAGCCCAAUCAAGUCACUCACUGCAAUAAAUUAAGCAACAACAGUGCACCUUUUCAGAUUAAUGCCAAGAAAAUAUAUGCAGAAGAGCCACCCAUGUCACUGGACAAGAGGUUCUAAUAUUACGUAACAGCAGCCAAGAAGAGCCACCAAGACCGCCUAUGCUGCAGCCAAGAAGAGCCACCAAGACCGCCUAUGCUGCCAGACACAUCACCCGAGAGGCUGUCCAGAUGGCAGGAGAAUCUAGCCCCAGGAUUGGGAUGGAGAUUGCGGGGAGCGGGUGGUGGUGAUGGAUGCCAUUAUUUCCUCGUAUGUCCACUUCAUCCAAAUAGGCUGCUGUCUUUUGAUUCAGAGCUUCCUAUUCAGCCUGCUAACUGUAUUGACCCAAAAGGAUGGGUCAGGGCUAUUUGCAGAUAUGGUACCAAAAACUUGGGCAAGGACUCCUGGAAUCUUCUAUUGACAUUCUGUGCCUCAGGGCAGAGGCUUUCAGGUAUCUGAAUGUAAGCAUAGCGGACGUUUCUGUUAAGAAAAAGAAAGCAAGAAUGUGUCAAAAAUUCUGAAUUUUUCAAAUGCAGUUCAUUUGGUCUUAACUGGUUUGCCACGAAGUCACUUUAAACCUCUUCUCAAACACCUUUCUCUAAAUUACACUGAAAAGUGAUUUGCUGUGUAAAGGAUAGAGAAAGACCUUUCUAGGAAACAGAUUCACUAUACAUUUAUAUCAGAGACGAAUCUGAGCUGAGGUUGCUGCCGGGGGAUCAUUAGGGCAACUUGCGAUAAGAACUGGAAAAUUAUUUACAAAUAAGAUAUUGAUCAGAAGAGUGAAGGGACACUUGAAUAUUUUUGACCCAGGAAAAAUGAAAGAAAGCAAACAAACAAAAAUCACCAGAAAAGCACUGUAAUGCCUGGAGAAUGUGUCUUACCGAUGGGAGUCCAGACACACGGCUUUGAAUUCUCAGUGGGGACUGAUCUGCGACAGCUUCUGUUCUCUUCCUGCUUCUAGGCAGUAAAAAGAAGGACCAGGAUCCGGCAAGAGAACGGGAGGCUGGGUUGACUCCUGCCCAUCUAACCUAAGUGUCAUCUCUGAAAGCAUCCAUAGGGAAUUGACCCCUAUGGCAUUCGCUGACUUAGGGCACACAGGGCAGCUAGCGAUCUCUGAAAAACAAAGGAAAAUUAGGACAUUUAAGAAUAUCUCUUUAGGGUACUGUCAAAGGUUAAAAGAAAUAAAGACCAGGGAACAGAAACAGCUAUGUUAUGUGGAGGACACAGCACAAAAUGAAAAUGAGGACCGCCUUGUUCAAAGAGCAGAAAAAAAAGGUCAUUAGUGGGACUAAAAUGUAAAGCUUUUUCUCUUCUUUCACAGCCUCUCUCUCUCAACUAU